CCUACGGGAGGCAGCAGUGGGGAAUUUUGGACAAUGGGCGCAAGCCUGAUCCAGCAAUGCCGCGUGCAGGAUGAAGGCCUUCGGGUUGUAAACUGCUUUUGUACGGAACGAAACGGUCUGCCCUAAUACGGUGGGCUAAUGACGGUACCGUAAGAAUAAGCACCGGCUAACUACGUGCCAGCAGCCGCGGUAAUACGUAGGGUGCGAGCGUUAAUCGGAAUUACUGGGCGUAAAGCGUGCGCAGGCGGUUAUAUAAGACAGAUGUGAAAUCCCCGGGCUCAACCUGGGACCUGCAUUUGUGACUGUAUAGCUAGAGUACGGUAGAGGGGGAUGGAAUUCCGCGUGUAGCAGUGAAAUGCGUAGAUAUGCGGAGGAACACCGAUGGCGAAGGCAAUCCCCUGGACCUGUACUGACGCUCAUGCACGAAAGCGUGGGGAGCAAACAGGAUUAGAUACCCUGGUAGUCCACGCCCUAAACGAUGUCAACUGGUUGUUGGGUCUUCACUGACUCAGUAACGAAGCUAACGCGUGAAGUUGACCGCCUGGGGAGUACGGCCGCAAGGUUGAAACUCAAAGGAUUGACGG
rnacentral:rRNA from 1 species